GCUACGAUGGGUAGGGGUUCUUAGUGGAAGAUCCCCCACACUGGCACUGAGAUACGGGCCAGACUCCUACGGGAGGCAGCAGUAGGGAAUAUUGGUCAAUGGGCGAAAGCCUGAACCAGCCAUGCCGCGUGCAGGAUGACAGCUCUCUGAGUUGUAAACUGCUUUUGUACAGGAGCAAAACAAUCCCUGCGGGGGUUCUUGAGAGUACUGUAAGAAUAAGCACCGGCUAAUUCCGUGCCAGCAGCCGCGGUAAUACGGAAGGUGCAAGCGUUAUCCGGUUUUAUUGGGUUUAAAGGGUGCGUAGGCGGCUUAUUAAGUCAGUUGUGAAAUCCUAGUGCUUAACGCUAGAACUGCAAUUGAUACUAUUAGGCUUGAGUUAAGAAUAGGUA
rnacentral:rRNA from 1 species